rnacentral:rRNA from 1 species
UACAGAGGUCUCAAGCGUUGUUCGGAUUCAUUGGGCGUAAAGCGCGUGUAGGCGGCUUGGCAAGUCAGUUGUGAAAGCCCGGGGCCCAACCCCGGAAUUGCAUCUGAAACUGCCUAGCUAGAGUCCCGGAGAGGAAGGCAGAAUUCCCGGUGUAGGGGUGAAAUCCGUAGAUAUCGGGAGGAAUACCAGCGGCGAAGGCGGCCUUCUGGACGGUGACUGACGCUGAGACGCGAAAGCGUGGGGAGCAAACAGG